rnacentral:lncRNA from 1 species
ACAUCAUUUCCCGAGCCGGGCAUGAGCUACUCCCAUCUAGCCAAUCUCGAUUUGGGAUCUUAGCAGCUGCCCUUCUUUCUACUGGGUAUGAACUCAAAGAAUCUCCUUUUUUGGACAGCCCCCCUAUCUUGUAAGGCCAGCUUCUGUGGCUUUCCCUCAUUGCAGAGAGGCUUUCGCUUAGCAACCUUUACCAUAAGCGAAAUCUUAAUUGGUGAUCUCAGUGAAAUUAAGGGCAUUCGAAAAAGACUCUAGGAUCUUAUACUGUCUUGAAUCGAGGAUUUAUUUCCUUCCCUCCCUCCAGCUCUCUAGUUCUCUUCCUUCGGCUCUCUUUUAAGGUAUUCCACUGGUGUCUAUUCACCCAUCUCUUAAAAAGUAUAACUCGGGGAAGGGAAUAAUAAAUUUUAGAACAACGUUCGUUUAACUCCGAAACGAGCCCUAGAAUAGGAUCCUAUCCGCUCAUGGAAGCUAGUCACACAGCUCUAAAAACAAUAACUCCAGAAUGAAUAACUGCUCCAACUCCAUAACUAACCACAGAAACAGAGAUAAGCAACUCGGAACGGCAAGUUCGAACUGAAAGAGCUACUGAACUAACUAAACAAUAAGAAGUUAAAGAGGAAGAGUUGUUUUUUAAGCAGAUAGUCUUCUGAACUACGUACACCCAAGUCUUCCACUCGUCCGCGCUUCCCCUAGUGAGUGAGGGUCGAUAAAAAUUAUCAUCAUUCUAUCGAAUGAAAUUAGUACGCCCGGUGAACCAUGCCUGGCCCUUUUGUAUAAAAAAGAGAGAUAAUCAAUCCCCUCAAUUCUUUUA